GUCUACGGCCAUACCUCCCUGAACGUACCCGAUCUUGUCUGAUCUCGGAAGCUAAGCAGGGUCAGGUCUGGUUAGUACUUGGAUGGGAAACAGAAGCUGAGGCCA
rnacentral:rRNA from 1 species